rnacentral:rRNA from 1 species
AGCUGUAAAGCUGGAUCAGGCCAUACGUAAGUUGCUCAUCACUCACAAGGCUAGGACGAAGCCAAGUAGUGUGGAUCGUUUAUACCUUCCACGGGAACAGGGUGGUUGCGGGCUCGCGUCGGUAGAGGAUGUGCUCGUUGAGUGCAUACUCGCCAGUUAUAGUUACGUUAUGACGCAGCCGGACCUCCUGAAUGAAGGCUUCUUCUUUCGGAAGCAAUCCGAGAGAGGAAAACGCACGCCCUACGGUGAUGGGCGCCGUAUACUUCAUGCCUAUGGUGUUGAGGUUGAGGAAAUGGAAGAAGCCAGGAAGGUGGUUGUGGACGGUGUGGUCUACGACAACCCGACAAAGCUUACCAGGACCCUGACCAAGAUGCUGAAGCUGAAGCGUGCGGAAGCACGGCUAGAGAACUGGAAACAGCAUCCUCUAGCGGGUAAGUUCCCCCGUGACGAGGAGGUUGAUGUGGCCCUAUCCAGCUUAUGGCUGAAGAAAGGUUGCGUUGGCCCCAGAGUCAUGCGUGACGUGCUUUGCGUCCAGGAAGGAUGCCUAAUGACAAAGGCAUGGCCUCCGCGUACUGAGGCGGGUGCGAAUGAUGUGUGUCGCCUAUGCAAACGGGCGCGGGAAACCGCUGCACAUAUCGUGAGUGCCUGCUCCGGGUGGUUACAAACCCUGUAUGUGGAACGNAAACAUAGGCGGCCUGAUUUUGUGGUGCACGACAAAGUCCUGAGAAAGAUAUUAGUCGUCGAGGUGUCGGUAGCUUUUGGUGCCAACCUCAGACGUCAACGAGAUAUCAAAGUGAACCGUUAUUGUGUGAACUCGUCGGAGCUUCCCGAUGAGGCCAACCCCCCUUACCCGCCUGGAGUUAACCUGUGCGAGGACAUCCGCCGCGUGCAGAAGUUGCCUGUCGACUUCUUGCCUGUGGUGGUUGGGGUGUGUGGGGAGCACUUAGCGGUGACCAAAGACGAUAUCCAUAGGAAGCUGGGCCUCAGCAUCCGAGAUACUGAUGUGUUGCUCGAACGACUGGCCCGGUCAGCGGUCGAAGGCACGCAUAGGAUAAUAUGCCGUCACUUCAGUGUCGCCAGUUAAGGACUCCGGGGAGUUUUCUCAGUUGCAACCGGAUACUUGCUGUGCGAAAGACCAUUCGAACGAUAUAACUGGAUCCAUUUCAGCUGGGCAGUGGUAUGGCUGGUGGAGCUGUUAUUGCCUCGUCAGAGACGAUUAUGGCGAAGUUGGCCUGCCCUUGUCUGGUGCCAGCACGAACACCGCUGGUGCGCCAUUCUAUGUCAUGUGAUCUAACGUGCCAAGCACGCAAGAGGGGUGAGGCCCGGUCAAGCGGGAGGCCCGUACGGGCCGCCAAUGAAAAACCGCUGAUCGGGGUGGACUGGUCGCUGGUGGAGCUGUUAUGGCCCCGUACGGGACAAUUAUGGCGAAGUCGGCGUCUCCUCAGCCAGCCCAGGGCGGAUAAUAAAGUGACGCGCAUGAAUGGAUUAACGAGAUUCCCACUGUCUCUAUCUACUAUCUAGCGAAACCACAGCCAAGGGAACGGGCUUGGCAGACACAGCGGGGAAAGAAGACCCUGUUGAGCUUGACUCUAGUCCGACACUGUAAAGAGUCAUGAGAGGUGUAGCAUAAGUGGGAGGCUUCGGCCGCCAGUGAAAUACCACUACUUUCAUCGAUUCUUUACUUAUUCGGUAAGACGAGGAAUGAUCCCUUUCGGGAUCGUGAUUCUGGUGUUAAGUGCAGCCACUCGGUGGCGGUACGACUCGCGCCGAAGACAGUGUCAGGCGGGGAGUUUGACUGGGGCGGUACAUCCAUCAAAUCGUAACGUGGGUGUCCUAAGGCUAGCUCAGAGAGGACGGAAACCUCUCGUGGAGCAAAAGGGCAAAAGCUCGCUUGAUCUUGAUUUUCAGUACGAAUACAGACCGCGAAAGCGUGGCCUAUCGAUCCUUUUGAAUUAGAAGGUCUCUAGCAAGAGGUGUCAGAAAAGUUACCACAGGGAUAACUGGCUUGUGGCAGCCAAGCGUCCAUAGCGACGUUGCUUUUUGAUCCUUCGAUGUCGGCUCUUCCUAUCAUUGCGAAGCAGAAUUCGCCAAGCGUUGGAUUGUUCACCCACCAAUAGGGAACGUGAGCUGGGUUUAGACCGUCGUGAGACAGGUUAGUUUUACCCUACUGUGACUAGUUGUUGCGAUAGUAAUCCUGCUCAGUACGAGAGGAACCGCAGGUUCAGACAUUUGGUUCAUGUGCUUGGCCGAUAGGCCAAUGGUGCGAAGCUACCAUCUGAGGGAUUAUGACUGAACGCCUCUAAGUCAGAAUCCCGCCUAGUCAAGGCAACGAUAAAUUCGCUCCCCGGUGUCGGGAGGCACGCUUAUGCGGAAAAUUCAUUUUUCGCAGCCCAAUGCCCUAUCAGAUGGCCUCGUCGGGUGGCUUUGAAAGGCCGCCCGAUUGCCAAAGCCGGAUCACUCUGGUACAAUGUCGGGGCGCAAAAUCACUUGCAGACGACUUGAUUACUGAUCGAGGUGUUGU